GUGAAAGACAAUAGAUAAUGGAAUCGCAAAACUUUUUGCACAUUAUUUGAGAACUUUAGAAUAAAUGUUGUCGUAUCCCAUUGAUUUUGUUGUAAUUAGUUUCUUAAAUUAAAUUCUUUAUUGAACAAUUUCUUUAAUUAUUACUAGCUCCGUUGCUGUGUUGUAGAAUGUUGACUCGAUGGCUCUUCUUCAAAUACCGAGUAAAAAUAAUCGUUUAAUAUAUUGCAUAUCUUGUUAUUAUCAACAGUAGUUGUAUUAUUUUUGUCUUUUAGAGCACAAAUUAAUUGACGAUCUGUGUGUUUGUUUUAAUAGUAAUCUAGAAUAUUAUUUAAAAGUAUGCGAAAAAAAUAGUUGCAAAUAAAAAGACUUUUUCUAUUAUCGGUUUCAUAAACGUUAUCAACAUGCUUCAUAUUUCAAUUUUGCUAUUGUUAAAACGAGUAGUAUCCAAUCACAACUAACCAAAUGCUAAAUAUUAAAAUAAACCAAUGUCGCAAUCCGAAUGAAACCAUUUUCUGCAUUGCACUCAAAAAAAAUGUUUGGAGUCACUGCUUUUUUCGGAACAAUUUAAUAAGAGGAAGUAAGAUACAUCCUGAUUAAGAACAACGCUUCAUUAAACGAUGAAGAUGCAUAAAUAUGACAAACGUCCUGCGAUGCAGAAACACCCUAGUUAUAACUAAUAACAGUAAAUCAACUGUAUAAUUGGCGAACCGUAUAUCGACAUAAUUCGAAAGUUGGUUAAAUAUUUGCUGUUAACUAUUUUUUAUAUAUAUUAUCUAAU